GAUGAAGAACGUAGCGAAAUGCGAUAAGUAAUGUGAAUUGCAGAAUUCAGUGAAUCAUCGAAUCUUUGAACGCACAUUGCGCCCGCCAGUAUUCUGGCGGGCAUGCCUGUUCGAGCGUCGUUACAACCCUCAGGCCCCCGGGCCUGGCGUUGGGGAUCGGCGGAAGCCCCCUGCGGGCACAACGCCGUCCCCCAAAUACAGUGGCGGUCCCGCCGCAGCUUCCAUUGCGUAGUAGCUAACACCUCGCAACUGGAGAGCGGCGCGGCCACGCCGUAAAACACCCAACUUCUGAAUGUUGACCUCGAAUCAGGUAGGAAUACCCGCUGAACUUAAGCAUAUCAAUAAGCGGAGGA
rnacentral:misc_RNA from 1 species